rnacentral:lncRNA from 1 species
GAAUCUUCACCACCACCCUCACCAUUUGACCACUCAGCAGGUGUCUCAUCAUAACUGUAAAACAUGAAAGAAGGGAGUUUAGCAUUAGGCUUUAGGCCUUUCCAUAGGCCCUUAGCCCCUUUAAACAGUUUGUUGAAAAAUUUAUCCCUUUAUUUUUCUUGCUUCAGCAUCUUCUCACGUGAAGCCUUGAGAUCCCUAUGAGAU